rnacentral:misc_RNA from 1 species
AAAAGCUAACCUAAGCCUCCCUCUGCCCCCAUCUCUCUAUUCUUUAUAGACUUGGCUCUGCCAAGUUCGCACACCCACACAGAUAGGAAGGAGGAAGAAGAGAACAAGUUGUCAAUUGUUCCUGUGUGGAUAUGUCGCUUCUUUCAGAUCUCAUCAACCUUAACCUCUCGGACACCACCGACAAGAUAAUCGCCGAGUACAUAUGGAUUGGUGGAUCCGGCAUGGACAUGCGGAGUAAAGCAAGGACUCUUUCUGGUCCAGUUAGUGAUCCUUUAAAGCUCCCCAAGUGGAACUAUGAUGGUUCCAGCACAGGACAGGCUCCUGGAGAAGACAGCGAAGUCAUUCUAUAUCCUCAAGCUAUUUUCAGGGAUCCA